rnacentral:rRNA from 1 species
GACGAACGCUGGCGGCGUGCUUAACACAUGCAAGUCGAACGGAAAGGCCCUGCUUUUGUGGGGUGCUCGAGUGGCGAACGGGUGAGUAACACGUGAGUAACCUGCCCUUGACUUUGGGAUAACUUCAGGAAACUGGGGCUAAUACCGGAUAGGAGCUCCUGCUGCAUGGUGGGGGUUGGAAAGUUUCGGCGGUUGGGGAUGGACUCGCGGCUUAUCAGCUUGUUGGUGGGGUAGUGGCUUACCAAGGCUUUGACGGGUAGCCGGCCUGAGAGGGUGACCGGCCACAUUGGGACUGAGAUACGGCCCAGACUACUACGGGAGGCAGCAGUGGAGACUAUUGCACAAUGGGCGGAAGCCUGAUGCAGCAACGCCGCGUGCGGGAUGACGGCCUUCGGGUUGUAAACCGCUUUCGCCUGUGACGAAGCGUGAGUGACGGUAAUGGGUAAGAAGCACCGGCUAACUACGUG